rnacentral:rRNA from 1 species
GAUGAACGCUGGCGGCGUGCCUAAUACAUGCAAGUCGAGCGAACAGAUGAGGAGCUUGCUCCUCUGACGUUAGCGGCGGACGGGUGAGUAACACGUGGAUAACCUACCUAUAAGACUGGGAUAACUUCGGGAAACCGGAGCUAAUACCGGAUAAUAUAUUGAACCGCAUGGUUCAAUAGUGAAAGACGGUUUUGCUGUCACUUAUAGAUGGAUCCGCGCCGCAUUAGCUAGUUGGUAAGGUAACGGCUUACCAAGGCAACGAUGCGUAGCCGACCUGAGAGGGUGAUCGGCCACACUGGAACUGAGACACGGUCCAGACUCCUACGGGAGGCAGCAGUAGGGAAUCUUCCGCAAUGGGCGAAAGCCUGACGGAGCAACGCCGCGUGAGUGAUGAAGGUCUUCGGAUCGUAAAACUCUGUUAUUAGGGAAGAACAAAUGUGUAAGUAACUAUGCACGUCUUGACGGUACCUAAUCAGAAAGCCACGGCUAGCUACGUG